GAAUCAAGGGGAGGGGGUCCAGGAGUUGGAACCCCCUUUUUUUUAACGAUCAAUGCAUUUGAAUGGGAGCAUAUAGUUGGACCCCCCUUUUACUCAUGGUUGGAACCCCCCCCCUUUUUUAAAAUGGCUGGAUCUGCCCCUGCAUGCUGGCACUAUAAAUUGAUGCGAACAAAAUUGUUUUCCAAUAUUGCUGUAACUUGUAUAUUACAG
rnacentral:lncRNA from 1 species